rnacentral:rRNA from 1 species
UGGGGAAUUUUGGACAAUGGGCGCAAGCCUGAUCCAGCCAUGCCGCGUGCGGGAAGAAGGCCUUCGGGUUGUAAACCGCUUUUGUCAGGGAAGAAAUCUUCUGAGUUAAUACCUCGGGAGGAUGACGGUACCUGAAGAAUAAGCACCGGCUAACUACGUGCCAGCAGCCGCGGUAAUACGUAGGGUGCAAGCGUUAAUCGGAAUUACUGGGCGUAAAGCGUGCGCAGGCGGUUUUGUAAGACAGAGGUGAAAUCCCCGGGCUCAACCUGGGAACUGCCUUUGUGACUGCAAGGCUUGAGUGCGGCAGAGGGGGAUGGAAUUCCGCGUGUAGCAGUGAAAUUGCGUAGAUAUGCGGAGGAACACCGAUGGCGAAGGCAAUCCCCUGGGCCUGCACUGACGCUCAUGCACGAAAGCGUGGGGAGCAAAACAGGAUUAGAUACCCUGGUAGUCCACGCCCUAAAACGAUGUCAACUGGUUGUU